UUGGAGGGCAAGUCUGGUGCCAGCAGCCGCGGUAAUUCCAGCUCCAAUAGCGUAUAUUAAAGUUGUUGCAGUUAAAAAGCUCGUAGUUGAAUUUCGGGAUUGACGUGAUGGUCAUGCCUUAAGGGGUACGAACUGCAACAGUUGAUUUCUCACCUUCUGGAGAAACUUGAUGUCCUUUAUUGGGUGUCUUGCGGAUCCAGGACCUUUACCUUGAAAAAAUUAGAGUGUUUAAAGCAGGCAUUUUUGCUCGAAUACAUUAGCAUGGAAUAAUAGAAUAGGACGGCAUGGUUCUAUUUUGUUGGUUUCUAGGAUCACCGUAAUGAUUAAUAGGGAUAGUUGGGGGCAUUAGUAUUCAAUUGUCAGAGGUGAAAUUCAUGGAUUUAUUGAAGACUAACUACUGCGAAAGCAUUUGCCAAGGAUGUUUUCAUUAAUCAAGAACGAAAGUUAGGGGAUCGAAGACGAUCAGAUACCGACGUAGUCUUAACCAUAAACUAUGCCGACUAGGAAUCAGACGAUGUUAAUUUUUUAAUGACUCGUUUGGCACCUUACGGGAAACCAAAGUGUUUGGGUUC
rnacentral:rRNA from 1 species